UCCAUAGGUUAAUGAGGCGAACCGGGGGAACUGAAACAUCUAAGUACCCCGAGGAAAAGAAAUCAACCGAGAUUCCCCCAGUAGCGGCGAGCGAACGGGGAGGAGCCCAGAGCCUGAAUCAGCAUGUGUGUUAGUGGAAGCGUCUGGAAAGGCGCGCGAUACAGGGUGACAGCCCCGUACACAAAAGCGCAUGUGCUGUGAGCUCGAUGAGUAGGGCGGGACACGUGGUAUCCUGUCUGAAUAUGGGGGGACCAUCCUCCAAGGCUAAAUACUCCUGACUGACCGAUAGUGAACCAGUACCGUGAGGGAAAGGCGAAAAGAACCCCGGCGAGGGGAGUGAAAAAGAACCUGAAACCGUGUACGUACAAGCAGUGGGAGCACCCUUCGGGGUGUGACUGCGUACCUUUUGUAUAAUGGGUCAGCGACUUAUAUUCUGUAGCAAGGUUAACCG
rnacentral:rRNA from 1 species